UUGAGCCGUAUGAUGGGAAACUAUCACGUACGGUUCUGAGGGGGGAAGGGGGUGAAAUUCCCCCGACCUACCCGGU
rnacentral:ncRNA from 1 species